AAUAAAGUUGUGAUUAGAAAAAGUAACGGUGAGUCAAUGUUAAGAGAGUUUGGGCCGGUGUGAACCAGACCAUUGAUACCGUGAAACACCUCUAUGAACUGAUGGGCUGAAUAAAGUAAGCCCCUCCGCAUGUUUAGCGUUAUCAGGGUUACCGUAACUGUUCUCGAAGUGGGCUUCGACGACUAGUUAUUGGCAACGUAAGGUUGGCAUCGUGAGGUGUCGGCAAAUUGAGGUGGAACCGCGAUUAUAUCGUCCUCGUA
rnacentral:ncRNA from 1 species